AUUGCUUCUCUGCCUUUUGGCUACGAUCAAGACAUGUGUAUUAUCUGUUCUUAUCAGUUUAAUAUCUGAUAUGUACCCAAUCUGGGGACUAUAUAAUAAAUGGAUUUUUGAGAAUGGGGGCCGAUUUUGAAUCUUGCUUCCUUCACCCUAUGCAUUGACUUAAUAUGGCAGUAUCGUCGGGUAUAGUGCAAAAAAA